rnacentral:rRNA from 1 species
GAUCCUGGCUCAGGACGAACGCUGGCGGCGUGCUUAACACAUGCAAGUCGAGCGGGGAUAUCUGGAGUGCUUGCACACUGGAUAUUCCAGCGGCGGACGGGUGAGUAACGCGUGAACAAUCUGUCCCAUACAGGGGGGAUAACAGAUGGAAACAUCUGCUAAUACCGCAUAAGACCACGAUGCCACAUGGCGAUGGGGUAAAAGGAGGAAUCCGGUAUGGGGUGAGUUCGCGUCCG